rnacentral:rRNA from 1 species
UACGGGGGGGGCAAGCGUUGUUCGGAAUUACUGGGCGUAAAGCGCACGUAGGCGGGUUGUUAAGUCAGGGGUGAAAUCCCGGAGCUCAACUCCGGAACUGCCUUUGAUACUGGCAACCUAGAGGCUGGAAGAGGUGAGUGGAAUUCCCAGUGUAGAGGUGAAAUUCGUAGAUAUUGGGAAGAACACCAGUGGCGAAGGCGGCUCACUGGUCCAGUACUGACGCUGAGGUGCGAAAGCGUGGGGAUCAAAC